UACAGAGGGGGCAAGCGUUGUUCGGAAUUACUGGGCGUAAAGGGCGCGUAGGCGGCCUUCUAAGUCGAACGUGAAAUCCCUGGGCUCAACCCAGGAACUGCGUCUGAUACUGGAUGGCUUGAGAUUGGGAGAGGGAUGCGGAAUUCCAGGUGUAGCGGUGAAAUGCGUAGAUAUCUGGAGGAACACCGGUGGCGAAGGCGGCAUCCUGGACCAACACUGACACUGAGGAGCGAAAGCCAGGGGAGCAAACGGG
rnacentral:rRNA from 1 species